GCACCUGAUUGAUUUUGGUCGCCAACGAGUGGCGGACGGGUGAGUAACACGUAGGUAACCUGCCCAGAAGCGGGGGACAACAUUUGGAAACAGAUGCUAAUACCGCAUAACAACGUUGUUCGCAUGAACAACGCUUAAAAGAUGGCUUCUCGCUAUCACUUCUGGAUGGACUGCGGUGCAUUAGCUUGUUGGUGGGGUAAUGGCCUACCAAGGGCCGAUGAUGCAUAGCCGAGUUGAGAGACUGAUCGGCCACAAUGGGACUGAGACACGGCCCAUACUCCUACGGGAGGCAGCAGUAGGGAAUCUUCCACAAUGGGCGCAAGCCUGAUGGAGCAACACCGCGUGAGUGAAGAAGGGUUUCGGCUCGUAAAGCUCUGUUGUUAAAGAAGAACACGUAUGAGAGUAACUGUUCAUACGUUGACGGUAUUUAACCAGAAAGUCACGGCUAACUACGUGCCAGCAGCCGCGGUAAUACGUAGGUGGCAAGCGUUAUCCGGAUUUAUUGGGCGUAAAGAGAGUGCAGGCGGUUUUCUAAGUCUGAUGUGAAAGCCUUCGGCUUAACCGGAGAAGUGCAUCGGAAACUGGAUAACUUGAGUGCAGAAGAGGGUAGUGGAACUCCAUGUGUAGCGGUGGAAUGCGUAGAUAUAUGGAAGAACACCAGUGGCGAAGGCGGCUACCUGGUCUGCAACUGACGCUGAGACUCGAAAGCAUGGGUAGCGAACAGGAUUAGAUACCCUGGUAGUCCAUGCCGUAAACGAUGAGUGCUAGGUGUUGGAGGGUUUCCGCCCUUCAGUGCCGGAGCUAACGCAUUAAGCACUCCGCCUGGGGAGUACGACCGCAAGGUUGAAACUCAAAGGAAUUGACGGGGGCCCGCACAAGCGGUGGAGCAUGUGGUUUAAUUCGAAGCUACGCGAAGAACCUUACCAGGUCUUGACAUCUUGCGCCAACCCUAGAGAUAGGGCGUUUCCUUCGGGAACGCAAUGACAGGUGGUGCAUGGUCGUCGUCAGC
rnacentral:rRNA from 2 species